CCUAUUGACGACGACGAGAUGGUAUCUUUUAUCAUGAAUGGUCUUGAUUCUGAUUACAACCCCAUAGUGUCUUCUGUUCUUGGGUGAUCAGAUCCAAUCUCUGUCAAUGAACUGUUUGCUCAAGUCAUGUCCUAUGAUC